UUAGUAUCACCUUGGGCCUGGCUGACAAAUGCUGAGUUAAUCAUUUGAGAAUUCUCAGGGGCCUCUGGAUUAAGAGGAGUAUACAAUCUAUAUGACUCCAAUAAUCUUUCAUAAAAGGCACUAGGUGACUCAUCAACCUUUUGCAACACCUCAACCGUCUUUGACAUAUUUAUUGCCUUCUUCCCUCCUGCCUUCAUGCCAGCAAUAAUGGCUUCCCGAUAAGCCCUUAAUUGGGGCAUGUCAGCACCAUUCACAUUCCAAUUUGGGUCAACAUUUGGAUAAUGGGCUGCAGCCCAUACAGCUGGAUUGGCC